AGAGUUUGAUCAUGGCUCAGGAUGAACGCUGGCGGCGUGCUUAAGACAUGCAAGUCGAACGAAGAAUUUAGCAAUAAAUUCUUAGUGGCGAAUGGGUGCGUAACACGUAGGUGACCUACCCCGAAGUGUGGAAUAACAGUCCGAAAGGACUGCUAAUACCGCAUGUGGUCCCGGGUUUUAGAAAGCCGGGUCUAAAGCAGUAAUGCGCUUCGGGAGGGGCCUGCGGCCCAUCAGCUUGCUGGUAGGGUAAUGGCCUACCAAGGCUACGACGGGUAGGGGACCUGAGAGGGUGACCCCCCACAUUGGCACUGACACACGGGCCAAACUCCUACGGGAGGCAGCAGUCGGGAAUAUUGCACAAUGGACGAAAGUCUGAUGCAGCAACGCCGCGUGCGCGAUGAAGGCCUUCGGGUCGUAAAGCGCUUUUCGGGAGGAUGAGGAAGGACAGUACUCCCGAAUA
rnacentral:rRNA from 1 species